rnacentral:lncRNA from 1 species
UUGAAAUAACUGUGAGUUAAACAUGUUCUUGUCAUUUUUUUUUCAAUUAAAAUGUUUGAUAUUCAAUAAUUCUAAACAUAUUUUGUUGUCUUUGUCAUUGACCAAAAAUCUGACACUGGUGACCAUGUCUUGAAGGCAACCAUUAAAGAAAAUUAUACAGUUUUUAAACACCAUUUAUUUAAUAAAAAUAUUAAAUGUUUCUUCCAAAAACUGCAUGUAAUUAUAUAAAUGCUUCCAGUGUUAGCCUAACGAUGGCAAUUUUUCAUAAUUUAAACCAUUUUUGAACCAAAAUAUCAAGAGUUUUUCCCUGAGGUGAUACUCAUUUUUGACUUCAUGUGAAACACAAAAUGCACAUCUGAUUGUGGCUAGGCCG